UACGAGGGGGGCGAGCGUUGUUCGGAAUUAUUGGGCGUAAAGAGCUCGUAGGCGGCCUGUUGCGUCCGCUGUGAAAGCCCGGGGCUUAACCCCGGGUCGGCAGUGGAUACGGGCAGGCUAGAGGUAGGUAGGGGAGAAUGGAAUUCCCGGUGUAGCGGUGAAAUGCGCAGAUAUCGGGAGGAACACCGGUGGCGAAGGCGGUUCUCUGGGCCUUACUUGACGCUGAGGAGCGAAAGCGUGGGGAGCGAACAGG
rnacentral:rRNA from 1 species